ACAACUUCCGCCCUCCCCCACGCCCCCAAGCCGUUCCCCUGAUCCCAUCCUCCGCCUCGGCGCCUUUGCGGCCGGCACGCAGGCCAGGCAGAUGGACAGCGGCGACGCCGUGGCGCCGCUCGCCGCGUGGGCGUCGAUCCGGGGGUACUUCACCCCGGCGACGCUGUUCCUCGUCGUCAACCUCGUCAUCGGCACCAUCGCGCUCACCUCCCGCGUCACCCAGCAGCGCCGCCGGCGGGGGCAACACUACUACCACGACGACGGCCACGGCCACGGCCACUACCACCUCCAGCAAGAACCGCUGCACUCGCAUCAGCAGCAGCCGGCGU
rnacentral:lncRNA from 1 species